CAAGUCGAGGGGGGUGGGGCAACCCACUCACCGGCGAACGGGUGCGUAACACGUGAGCGACCCGCCCUACCAGAGGGGGAUAGCCGGCCCAACGGCCGGGUAAGACCGCAUACGCUCCUUGGGCUACAUGGCCUGGGGAGGAAAGCUCGAAAGGGCGCUGGAGGAGGGGCUCGCGGCCUAUCAGCUAGUUGGCGAGGUAACGGCUCACCAAGGCGACGACGGGUAGCUGGUCUGAGAGGAUGGCCAGCCACAUUGGGACUGAGAGACGGCCCAGACUCCUACGGGAGGCAGCAGUGGGGAAUAUUGCGCAAUGGCCGAGAGGCUGACGCAGCGACGCCGCGUGUGGGAUGAAGCUCUUCGGGGUGUAAACCACUGUUGCCCGGGACGAAACUCCUGCUUUGGCGGGAUUGACGGUACCGGGUGAGGAAGCACCGGCUAACUCCGUGCCAGCAGCCGCGGUAAUACGGAGGGUGCGAGCGUUGUCCGGAAUCACUGGGCGUAAAGGGCGCGUAGGUGGCUCGUGAAGCGUGCGGUGAAAGUCCGAGGCUCAACCUCGGAUCGGCCGUGCGGACUCGCGGGCUCGAGCGUUGUAGAGGCGGGUGGAAUUCCGGGUGUAGCGGUGGAAUGCGUAGAGAUCCGGAAGAACACCGGUGGCGAAGGCGGCCCGCUGGGCAACUGCUGACACUGAUGCGCGACAGCGUGGGGAGCAAACAGGAUUAGAUACCCUGGUAGUCCACGCCGUAAACGAUGGGCACUAGGUGCUUCGGGGAGCGACCCUCGGAGUGCCGGCGCUAACGCAUUAAGUGCCCCGCCUGGGGAGUACGGCCGCAAGGCUGAAACUCAAAGGAAUUGACGGGGGCCCGCACAAGCGGUGGA
rnacentral:rRNA from 1 species